AAAAAACCCCGCGUUAAGGAUGGAAGCGGCAUCCUUUUGUGUAGCGGCAGCAAAACAAAAGAUAUAGCGUACAGCCUGACCUGUA
rnacentral:sRNA from 2 species